AAUGGUUGCGCCUUCUUCAAGUGAAGAUGUUCCAACAUAGAAACUUCUGUGGAGAGUUCAGAACAGGUGCACAAUACACAGAGCGUGAAGGUCAAAACAAGUAAUUCAGAGGACUACUGAAAAAUUCACUAUAAUAGGUGUGGAUUUGAGUAAUAUGCAUGGAGGUGAGGAUUUGAGUAAUAUGCCUGAGUUUUAUGUUCGAAACUCUUUGAUGUUAUUUUAUGAUCGAGUAGUUUUGUUGAUCAAAUAGAUGAGCACAUAUUGUACAAAC
rnacentral:lncRNA from 1 species